rnacentral:sRNA from 22 species
UAUCGUGUGAGGAGUAUAAGUUCAGCAUAAGAGGAACCUUUGGGGUCGAAACACGGCAAGACUCCCAGAGGUUCUUCUUUUUC